rnacentral:rRNA from 1 species
AUUGAACGCUGGCGGAAUGCUUUACACAUGCAAGUCGAACGGCAGCACGGGGGCAACCCUGGUGGCGAGUGGCGAACGGGUGAGUAAUACAUCGGAACGUGCCCGGUCGUGGGGGAUAACGUAGCGAAAGUUACGCUAAUACCGCAUACGAUCUGAGGAUGAAAGCGGGGGACCUUCGGUCCUCUCGCGAUCGGAGCGGCCGAUGUCAGAUUAGGUAGUUGGUGGGGUAAAGGCCUACCACGCCCACGAUCUGUAGCUGGUCUUAGAGGACGACCAGCCACACUGGGACUGAGACACGGCCCAGACUCCUACGGGAGGCAGCAGUGGGGAAUUUUGGACAAUGGGCGCAAGCCUGAUCCAGCCAUUCCGCGUGCAGGACGAAGGCCUUCGGGUUGUAAACUGCUUUUGUAUGGAACGAAAAGGCUCUGGCUAAGACCUGGGGCUCAUGACGGUACCGUAAGAAUAAGCACCGGCUAACUACGU